rnacentral:rRNA from 1 species
GAUGAACGCUGGCGGCGUGCCUAAUACAUGCAAGUCGAGCGAACGGACGAGAAGCUUGCUUUUCUGAUGUUAGCGGCGGACGGGUGAGUAACACGUGGAUAACCUACCUAUAAGACUGGGAUAACUUCGGGAAACCGGAGCUAAUACCGGCUAAUAUUUUGAACCGCAUGGUUCAAAAGUGAAAGACGGUCUUGCUGUCACUUAUCGAUGGAUCCGCGCUGCAUUAGCUAGUUGGUAAGGUAACGGCUUACCAAGGCAACGAUGCAUAGCCGACCUGAGAGGGUGAUCGGCCACACUGGAACUGAGACACGGUCCAGACGCCUACGGGAGGCAGCAGUAGGGAAUCUUCCGCAAUGGGCGAAAGCCUGACGGAGCAACGCCGCGUGAGUGAUGAAGGUCUUCGGAUCGUAAAACUCUGUUAUUAGGGAAGAACAUAUGUGUAAGUAACUGUGCACAUCUUGACGGUACCUAAUCAGAAAGCCACGGCUAACUACGUG